rnacentral:rRNA from 1 species
GACGAACGCUGGCGGCGUGCUUAACACAUGCAAGUCGAACGGAGUGGCGAACGGGUGAGUAUUACGUGAGUAACCUGCCCUCAACCGUGGGAUAAGACGGGGAAACUGGGUCAAAUAUUGCAUGGGAUGGGUCCGCGGCCGAUCAGCUUGUUGGUGGGGUGAUGGCCUACCAAGGCGGUGACGGGUAGCCGGCCUGAUAGGGUUGUCGGCCACAUUGGGACUGAGAUACGGCCCAGACUCCUACGGGAGGCAGCAGUGGGGAAUAUUGCACAAUGGGCGCAAGCCUGAUGCAGCCAUGCCGCGUGGAUGAAGAAGGCCUUCGGGUUGUAAAGUACUUUCAGCGAGGAGGCGUUACUCGCAGAGGAAGCACCGGCUAACUCCGUGCCAGCAGCCGCGGUAAUUC